rnacentral:rRNA from 1 species
GACGAACGCUGGCGGCGUGCCUAAUACAUGCAAGUCGAGCGCAGGAAACUGACGGAACUCUUCGGAGGGAAGGUAGUGGAAUGAGCGGCGGACGGGUGAGUAACACGUAAGGAACCUGCCUCAAGGAUUGGGAUAACUCCGAGAAAUCGGAGCUAAUACCGGAUAGUUCAUCGGACCGCAUGGUCCGUUGAUGAAAGGCGCUUCGGCGUCACCUUGAGAUGGCCUUGCGGUGCAUUAGCUAGUUGGUGGGGUAACGGCCCACCAAGGCGACGAUGCAUAGCCGACCUGAGAGGGUGAUCGGCCACACUGGGACUGAGACACGGCCCAG